GGACCCGUAGCUCAGCGGUAGAGCAUCUGAUUCCAGCCUGGCGUGGAAACAGCAUCCAGAAGGUCAUCCGUUCAAAUCGGGUCGGGUUCA
rnacentral:tRNA from 1 species